CGGGCCACUAGCCAGUCCACUGGGGACAUCCCUCAGAGAGGGGAGGGGAGGGAGAGACAGGGCGGACACCCAGGCUGGCACACUGUGGCCAGCCACCCGGCUCCACUGACUGGCGGUUUCGUGUCUGGCUCCCUGAGGUCCAGAUGGUCCCAACACGUCCCUGGGGGGUAAGCAGACUCCUGCCCAAACUUGAACUCACAGCUCCAGCCCCCAGAGGCUCCGAGCCAGGACCCCAAAGGAGGGAGGAGGAAGUCCCAUGAAGAAAUAAAGAACAUGUGGUGAAUCACAGAGAAGUGGCUGAAAAGAUUCAAGCCUCAACCUUGGUCCUCCCUAGUCACAUGACCACAGGCAAACCUCUUCUCUCUCAGCCUCAGUUUUUGCAUCAGUGCAAUAGGAAUGGUAUCUGCCAUGCUAACCUCACAGGACUGCUGUGUGUUCAGAUGAAUCAGGUAUGUGAAAGACACUUCUGCAAGCGGGAAAGAGGUGUGCAAAGGCAAUUUGCUUUUACAGAACUUAUAUUACUGUCAUUUCCCAUCGUUAUUUUAAUGCUCAAAAGGUUUGGGAGACAUUUCUGUAACUGAGGUGUUCAUGGUAAGCCCACACUCACUCCUGCUUGGAAAAGGUUUUACAUAGACUGAGGAGACCUGAGGCAGUUGCUGAGCUGCUUAGAACAGAGUCUCUGGGUCACAGCCAUCCCAUUACUGGGCAUAUCCCCAAAGGAUUGUAAAUCAUGCUGCUAUAAAGACACAUGCACACGUAUGUUUAUUGCAGCACUAUUCACAACAGCAAAGACUUGGAACCAACCCAAAUGUCCAUCAAUGAUAGACUGGAUUAAGAAAAUGUGGCACAUAUACACCAUGGAAUACUAUGCAGCCAUAAAAAAGGAUGAAUUCAUGUCCUUUGUAGGGACAUGGAUGAAGCUGGAAACCAUCAUUCUGAGCAAACUAUCGCAAGGACAGAAAACCAAACACUGCAUGCUCUCACUCAUGGGUGGGAAUUGAACAAUGAGAACACAUGGACA
rnacentral:lncRNA from 1 species